rnacentral:rRNA from 1 species
GAUGAACGCUGGCGGCGUGCCUAAUACAUGCAAGUCGAGCGAAUGGAUUAAGAGCUUGCUCUUAUGAAGUUAGCGGCGGACGGGUGAGUAACACGUGGGUAACCUGCCCAUAAGACUGGGAUAACUCCGGGAAACCGGGGCUAAUACCAGAUAACAUUUUGAACCGCAUGGUUCGAAAUUGAAAGGCGGCUUCGGCUGUCACUUAUAGAUGGACCCGCGUCGCAUUAGCUAGUUGGUGAGGUAACGGCUCACCAAGGCAACGAUGCGUAGCCGACCGGAGAGGGUGAUCGGCCACACUGGGACUGAGACACGGCCCAGACUCCUACGGGAGGCAGCAGUAGGGAAUCUUCCGCAAUGGACGAAAGUCUGACGGAGCAACGCCGCGUGAGUGAUGAAGGCUUUCGGGUCGUAAAACUCUGUUGUUAGGGAAGAACAAGUGCUAGUUGAAUAAGCUGGCACCUUGACGGUACCUAACCAGAAAGCCACGGCUAACUACGUGCCAGCCGCCGCGGUAA